CCUCACCAUCACGUGAAUUCCAUCAACUUUCUGCAUUCUUUACUCCAGUGUGUAGUUGUGAAAUUCUACACCUUCUACCACCGCUUCCUUGGCUUCCUCCUGGUCAGGCCGGAGUAUGCCACACUUGAUAGCUAUUGCUUUAGCAGUGAAAACAUUAUCGCCAGUGAUUAAUUCCACCUGCACCUCGGUAAACUGGCAAGCUUCUACUGCUUACCUCACUCCUGGCCUAUAUGGGUCCUUUAGACCUACCAAUCCUAAUAGGAUCAAACUGCUUUCUUCGAGUUUUCCGUACUUCUUUUCGUCAUUAAUAUGCUUAUCCUGAACUUGUUUAUGUGCCAAAGCAAUGCAUCGGAGACUGCUUGUUGCCAUGGCUAAUAUGCUCAAACUUCAACCUUUCAUCAUCAUUCAGAUCUUUUGUGACACAGGCGAUGGGUGCCCUGAAUCCCCAUCGCCGUUUUACUCGAUAUUCAGCGUUGCCAUCUUUCUCCAAAUCUUCGAGCCAAUAGAAACCGCAAAGUCAACAUGUACGUCUGUGGAAUUACUGCCUGUGAUCUCAGCCAUCUCGGCCACGCUCCUGCCGCCGUCAAUUUCGAUGUCCUCGAUCUUCAGGUUCGCACGUUCAAUCUCAUUAUUUGCAUGUUUAAUUUAAUAAUUAUGCAAUUAAUUGUGCUCUAGAGGGAAGAAAUCAGAUCCAUGGUUGAAAAGAACGGCUCUGCAAAAGGAAUUGUUUCAGCCAGUUCACAUCGUUCUUAGAUAUCAUUAACUACUCCUUGCAAAAGGUAAAACUGAGUAAUAUACAACAAUUUUCUAUUUGUGCAUCAAUAGAUUACCGUUAAUGCUAUAAAGAGAUAAACCGAGGAUUCAUAUUGCAGGGUUUUCUUAUUGAGCUCGAAAGCUGGAGGAGUUGCAUCGCACGUAAGUAAUGUCUUCUGUCAGUCUUUAAAUUAUGUUUUCCCAACUAUACCAAAAAAAAAAAAAAAGAAAAAAAUCUAUGUUAAGAUCUCUAAUAUUUUCUUCUCCAUUGCAGAAUUAUGAGAUUGGAUUUGGAAUUUAAUUAUUUCAAUUUGUUUUUUCUGAUUUAUAUUUCAAGGACAAGGUGUGGAUUAGAUAGCACAAACUGGCUGGAAGACAAGAUUCUGUGAAAGAAAGGGCAAGAAAAUCUGAUGAACUUUCUUUGUUGAUCUGUGCAUGGAGAUGCAAUCUAAGCUACUGUAAAAGACGUCGACAAUGCUUUAGUUGAUCAAAAAAUAGAAACUGCAUGUGUGUAUUAUGAGAGGAAAUAGAGAGCAAUAUGUCUCAGUUUUGAAAUGUACUGGAAUCAAAGAAGCUAACUCAAGGUGCUAGCUUUGAAUUUCCCCGAAAUAUCUUUUUUUUUGGAUUAAUUAUUUGAGACA